rnacentral:lncRNA from 1 species
UACGCAAAGUAUUUCUGUCCGAAAUACUUUGCCCCAGCUGAAGUGACACUCUUGCAAAUAAUGAUGAAAAACUUGUUAAUUAAGAGGGGACACGGGUCUUUGAGACCAAAAAAUCACGAAAAAAUCGGUUUUUUGAAAAUGGAAUUUUCGAAAGCUAUAUGCA